rnacentral:rRNA from 1 species
UACGGGGGGGGCAAGCGUUGUUCGGAUUUACUGGGCGUAAAGGGCGCGUAGGCGGCGUGGUAAGUCACUUGUGAAAUCUCCGGGCUUAACUCGGAGCGGUCAAGUGAUACUGCUGUGCUAGAGUGCGGAAGGGGCAACUGGAAUUCUCGGUGUAGCGGUGAAAUGCGUAGAUAUCGUAAGGAAGACCAGUGGCGAAGGCGGGUCUCUGGACAGUUCCUGACGCUGAGGCACGAAGGCCAGGGGAGCAAACGGG